GCAACAAACUUUCUUCUAUCUUCUCAGCUAGUCAUUGAACACACCAUGAAAUCUAGGUUAUGUGGACUUAGAUUCUAUCAUCAAGAUUGUGAGUAUUCUUGGGCAAAGGAAAUAGAGAAAACGUUCACCAACAACCGCGCCUUCAUCUCAGUACAUGAUGUGCCAAAAAUAGCUAUGCUGCAUCUCUCAAAACUCCAACAAUUCCUAUGAGGUAGUCAAUUGCAGAUGGCAAGCUUCCCUG
rnacentral:misc_RNA from 1 species